GGCAGGGUAGUCUAGUGGAUGGAGUACUGGGGUGGGAUUCCAGAGACCUGGAUUCUAUUCCUGGCUCUGCCA
rnacentral:tRNA from 1 species